CAAUAGCGUAUAUUUAAGUUGUUGCAGUUAAAAAGCUCGUAGUUGGAUUUCGGAUGGGAUUUGCCGGUCCGUCGUUACGAUGUGCACUGGCCAGUCCUAUCUUGUUGUCGGGGACUAGCUCCUUGGAUUCACUUCCUGGGACUAGGAGCUGACGAGGUUACUUUGUGUAAAUUAGAGUGUUCAAAGCAAGCCUACGCUCUGAAUACAUUAGCAUGGAAUAACACGAUAGGACUCUGGCUUAUCUUGUUGGUCUGUGAGACCAGAGUAAUGAUUAAGAGGGACAGUCGGGGACAUUCGUAUUUCAUUGUCAGAGGUGAAAUUCUUGGAUUUAUGAAAGACGAACUUCUGCGAAAGCAUUUGUCAAGGAUGUUUUCAUUAA
rnacentral:rRNA from 1 species